AGAUUGAACGCUGGCGGCAUGCCUUACACAUGCAAGUCGAACGGCAGCACGGGAGCAAUCCUGGUGGCGAGUGGCGAACGGGUGAGUAAUAUAUCGGAACGUGCCCAGUCGUGGGGGAUAACGCAGCGAAAGCUGUGCUAAUACCGCAUACGAUCUCUGGAUGAAAGCGGGGGACUCGCAAGAGCCUCGCGCGAUUGGAGCGGCCGAUAUCAGAUUAGCUAGUUGGUGAGGUAAAGGCUCACCAAGGCGACGAUCUGUAGCUGGUUUGAGAGGACGACCAGCCACACUGGGACUGAGACACGGCCCAGACUCCUACGGGAGGCAGCAGUGGGAAUUUUGGACAAUGGGGAACCCUGAUCCAGCCAUCCGACGUGUGCGAUGAAGGCCUUGGUUGUAAGCUACUUUGGCGAGGAAGAACGGCGUGUACCCUAAGUACGGACGUCGACUGACGUACCUGCAGAAUAA
rnacentral:rRNA from 1 species